AGAGAGUAAAACACAGACCUUGUGGCCCAAGCCCACAAGUUAGGGCAAUCUCAAUUGACACGUUUUUCAUGUUUUUGUUCAAAAUUUGUCUUUUGCUCUCAAACAUGGCUUUUCCAUCGAAAGUGGCUCCGCCACGCCGGAGGCGACAUAAUUGGUACAAACCAAAAAAACUCACCACCAAAUUAAGCCUCUUAACGCCCUCUCUCUCAUUCUGACCUUUAAUCUUCCUAAAACUCUACCAGCUUCUCAAAUCGAGACAAAAACACUAAGAACCCUAAAUAUUGAAUUUGGAAUUAAACGCAGUUGAGGAGGAAUCAAAGCCUAAUUCCUUAGGGCUUUGAUUCCUCGUGCGUCAAGCUACAUAGUGGUAACUAGGUAGAAGCGAACAAAUGUGGAAUGACUUACCUAUGAAGAGGAUAAAUUCCUCGGUGAGUGUUAAAUUCGAAGGUGCAAACGAAGAAGAAGACGAAGGUAAUGCAUGUGUGCUUCAAUGUGCUUGAUUCUCUCUUCUCCUUCUUCAUUGAUUCUUUCUUCUUCUUCCCAAAUUAUUUAGUACGUAGGAUAUGAGUGUGUGUUGUUGUUGAUGUUUGCGUGUGAAUUGCAGAGAGAUUGAGGAUUGUGUACGAUUGCAGGGUGUGAGGCUUGAGGCUUUAGCUCAACCAAUUGAAGCUUCCACGUGAAGCUUCAAUAACUAUGGAUGGGAGUUUUGGUGAGGGUGAGUUCAGAGAGAUGACGAGUGAAUGAGGGAGAUGAAGAUUGAAAGGGUGAUCCUAUGAAAUUGGUGAAAUUGUGAUGGUGAUGAACCCCCCUAUGAAUUGUGAUUGAGCUGUUAUUUAUAGAUUUCCCUCUCUCCAAAUUCUGUUAGAAAUCCAAUCAAAAUGUAGCAGAAAUUCAAUGGAAAUUACCUUGAAAUUAGAAAUCAGUUAGCAGUUAGUUUUGGAUGGAAGUUAGGGUUGGUUAAGUUAGUUAACUGCAUCUGUUAAGAAUACUUAGUAAUUAUUGACAUUGUUAAAGCCGUGAUAGGAUACAAUUAUGAACUUGAAUGGGAAUUAGUAAUGCUUAAGUUAAAUUAGAGUUAGAGUGGUUGUUAUUAGUUAUUUAGUUAUGUUUGAUGUUGCAAUUAGAAUGAUGCUUGCUGGUGGUUUUGGAUUGGAGCCAUGUGAAGUGAGUUUGUUAGUUGUUAAUAAAAAGAGAUGCAGACUGUUAGUAUUUUGUUACCCUUGUUGUGUUAUGAAUAUAAAUGUUAGUGACUGUGUUAGAUUGAUGAUUUGAAUUAGCUAUUGAAAUGUUAGUAUGGUUGUGAGGAAUGUUAUGCAAUUAGUUUGAAUUGUUGGAAGUUAUGAGUUUGUUCAUUUAUGUGUUGAUGUUAGAUGCAUGUUGUUAUAAACUUAUGGUUUAUGAGUUGUUGGUUGUUAUGCAUGAAUCGUGUAUAGGGAUUGAUGUUUGAAUUAGCUGCUAUCUGAUGCUUGAAUUAUAGGUUAGUAAGGAGUGUUGAAAUGAGGUGGAGUAUUUGUAUUCAGUGGCUUGAGAAUGGUUGUUAACUGCUAUGUUGUUAGUGUUGGAUUGGACUGUUAGGAUGUUUAUGUAAUAUGAAUGGUAUAAUGCUUGAAUGUGUUAAUAGUGAAUUGGUUUACAAGUGUUGGAUUUGUAUGUAGAUGUUUGUCAAAAUUCAUGUUAGCAUAGAUAAAAUUUGAUUGUGGUGUAUUAUUGUGGAAAUAUGUUGAAACUUGUUGUGUGAAUCAUAUGUAAUGACUAACAUACGUGUGUGUGCAGGGGUGAUGAGAUGGAGUCAUCUUGGCAUGAUAUGUAGAUUUGGCAAGGCAUGAAUCAAGGUGUUUUCAUGAAGAUACCUUAAAGACUUGAAGAUCUAUGAAGGAUGUUGGACCAAAAAAGAGAUGGCUUAGGAAUGGAAAACAAGGAGGAUUAGGGUUCAAAAUAAGUAGUUGACUUUGGUCAACUGUUUGACCAAAAAGUCAAUAGUUGACCAAAAGUUAACCUAGGCCAGAAAUAGGGUUUUCUUGGUGUAACUUGAAAUGGAUGUUUAAAAUGUAAAUUUGACGGUUUGUAAUGAGAAAAAGGCUUUUUAAAGUGAAUUAUAACUUAUGUUCCAAGUAGUGUGUUUUCUUUGCAUAACAUGAGUCCAAAUGCAUACUUGAAUGCAUCUUAGUCUUUGAAAUGAACUUGAAUAAUUUUGAAAUGAAAAAGGCCUUCUUGAAAUAAAUGUAGCUUGUAUCUUAAAAAAGACGAAAUUUC
rnacentral:lncRNA from 1 species